CAGCAGCCGCGGGAAAACGAAGGGGGCUAGCGUUGUUCGGAUUUACUGGGCGUAAAGGGCGCGUAGGCGGACUGAUAAGUCAGGGGUGAAAUCCCAAGGCUCAACCUUGGAACUGCCUUUGAUACUGUUUGUCUUGAGUUCGAGAGAGGUAAGUGGAACUGCGAGUGUAGAGGUGAAAUUCGUAGAUAUUCGCAAGAACACCAGUGGCGAAGGCGGCUUACUGGCUCGAAACUGACGCUGAGGCGCGAAAGCUAGGGGAGCAAAUGGGAUUAGAUACCCCGGUAGUCCCUGUCUCUUAUAC
rnacentral:rRNA from 1 species